rfam:Ktedonobacter racemifer DSM 44963 strain SOSP1-21 Krac_Contig206, whole genome shotgun sequence.
GUCAUGGACCCCGGUUUGAAAACUGGGGCUUGCAAGAAGUUUGAACGCUUCUUGUACCCCCAACGGUUGGCAAGCUGAAACAUGACCAGAUCCAGCCACCGCUCUUCUUCGGAGGAGCGAUGGGGCUACGUUAUCAGGAAGUGUCAACGUUCGUACCGGAGGAUGCGCGGCCAGUCUUCCGCUCUACAACCAGCAGGUUAAACAGACCGUGGGUAUAGUCAGUGCUUGCUGGAUGUACCGCCUGAUAACCUCAUCGAGGCCACCAUCAC